UACAGAGGUCUCAAGCGUUGUUCGGAUUCAUUGGGCGUAAAGGGUGCGUAGGUGGCGUCGUAAGUCGGGUGUGAAAUCCCUCGGCUCAACCGAGGAACUGCGCUCCAUACUGCAUGGCUUGAGGGAGACAGGGGUAAGCGGAACUGAUGGUGGAGCGGUGAAAUGCGUUGAUAUCAUUAGGAACACCGGUGGCGAAAGCGGCUCACUGGGACUCUUCUGACGCUGAGGCACGAAAGCUAGGGUAGCGAACGGG
rnacentral:rRNA from 1 species